GGAGAAGACUGAGGCUAUAUUAGUAAAUAGGCAUACCUUAUAUUUGCAGACCAGAGCUACAGGCUUGGAGAUUAGCAGUUGGCAGUUCUCGACACCAACGCUCAUCUAUUCGUUUCUCUAUUCCUGAACAAGCUGUUGCUUUCGUGCUCGUUGCUGCGUGCUAGGGAACAAGUUCACUUAGCAUGGGAAAUAAGCCUGUGACUGCAAAGCAAGAAAGGGAUGAGAUUCUGUUGAAAAUUAUGCCCCCUGUUGAUCGUGCUUACAUUCGGUGGCUUGUGCGUGAUAUUGAGAUGAUUCAUGGCUUUACUUUGAGAAAUUGCUGUGCAGUUAAGCCACCAGAUCAUUAUAUAGAAUACAUGCGCUUGAAUGGAUGGUUAGAUGUGGACGUGGAUGAUCCUGAUCUGGCGCAUUUAUUCAAAGGAAAUAAUGUUCUCAAUGGAACUGCUAUUACAUUACAGAGGCCUUCAAAUGCAUAGAGGGAGUAGUUUCUCAUAAGGUAAGCGGUGAUCUCUUGCUGAGAUUUCUACUUGCCAUCCCCUAACAACGAUAAGUCUUUCAUGUUUCUGUCCAACUCCACCUUCUAAGCUAUGCUGCAAGAUCAUUAAAGACUAUUUAUCGAAUAGCUGUGUUAAGUAGGCAUUUGAGAUUAAUCAUUGUAUACUAUGCAAGUAAUAUUUGGGAUAUUUAAAUUAUAAAGGAAAAAAGAAAAGGAACAAUUGUGAAAAA